rnacentral:rRNA from 1 species
AGAGUUUGAUCCUGGCUCAGAAUCAACGCUGGCGGCGCGCUUAACACAUGCAAGUCGCACGAGAAAGGGAGCAAUCCUGAGUAAAGUGGCGUACGGGUGAGUAACACGUGGAUCAUCUACCUUUUAGUGGGGAAUACCUCCGGGAAACUGGAGACAAUACCGCAUAAGCUCGUGAGAGGAAAGCAGCAAUGCGCUGAAAGAGGAGUCCGCGGCUGAUUAGCUAGUUGGCGGGGUAACGGCCCACCAAGGCGAAGAUCGGUAGCCGGCCUGAGAGGGCACACGGCCACACUGGCACUGAAACACGGGCCAGACUCCUACGGGAGGCAGCAGUGGGGAAUCUUGCACAAUGGGGGAAACCCUGAUGCAGCGACGCCGCGUGAGCGAUGAAGCCCUUCGGGGUGUAAAGCUCUUUCGACGGGAACGAUAAUGACGGUACCCGAAGAAGAAGCUGCGGCUAACUACGUGCCAGCAGCCGCGGUAAUACGUAGGCAGCAAGCGUUGUUCGGAAUUACUGGGCGUAAAGAGUGUGUAGGCGGUGUUCUAAGUCUGUUGUGAAAUCUCCCGGCUCAACUGGGAGGGUGCGGCGGAGACUGGAAUGCUAGAGUAUGGGAGAGGUAAGCGGAAUUCCUGGUGUAGCGGUGAAAUGCGUAGAUAUCAGGAGGAACACCUGUGGUGUAGACAGCUUACUGGACCAUGACUGACGCUGAGACACGAAAGCGUGGGUAGCAAACAGGAUUAGAUACCCUGGUAGUCCACGCCCUAAACGAUGCAUACUUGGUGUGAGCCAUUCAUUUGGUUCGUGCCGGAGCUAACGCGUUAAGUAUGCCGCCUGGGGAGUACGGUCGCAAGGCUGAAACUCAAAGGAAUUGACGGGGGCCCGCACAAGCGGUGAGCAUGUGGUUUCAAUUCGACGCAACGCGAAGAACCUUACCUGGGCUCCGAACGGC